rnacentral:rRNA from 1 species
AUUGAACGCUGGCGGCAGGCCUAACACAUGCAAGUCGAAUGGUAACAGGAAACAGCUUGCUGUUUCGCUGACGAGUGGCGGACGGGUGAGUAAUGUCUGGGAAACUGCCUGAUGGAGGGGGAUAACUACUGGAAACGGUAGCUAAUACCGCAUAACGUCGUAAGCCCAAAGAGGGGGACCUUCGGGCCUCUUGCCAUCAGAUGUGCCCAGAUGGGAUUAGCUAGUAGGUGGGGUAACGGCUCACCUAGGCGACGAUCCCUAGCUGGUCUGAGAGGAUGACCAGCCACACUGGAACUGAGACACGGUCCAGACUCCUACGGGAGGCAGCAGUGGGGAAUAUUGCACAAUGGGCGCAAGCCUGAUGCAGCCAUGCCGCGUGUAUGAAGAAGGCCUUCGGGUUGUAAAGUACUUUCAGCGGGGAGGAAGGGAGUAAAGUUAAUACCUUGGCUCAUUGACGUUACCCGCAGAAGAAGCACCGGCUAACUCCGUG